rnacentral:rRNA from 1 species
GACGAACGCUGGCGGCGUGCCUAAUACAUGCAAGUAGAACGCUGAAGAGAGGAGCUUGCUCUUCUUGGAUGAGUUGCGAACGGGUGAGUAACGCGUAGGUAACCUGCCUGGUAGCGGGGGAUAACUAUUGGAAACGAUAGCUAAUACCGCAUGAAAUUGCUUAUCGCAUGAUAAUUGAUUGAAAGAUGCAAUUGCAUCACUACCAGAUGGACCUGCGUUGUAUUAGCUAGUUGGUGAGGUAACGGCUCACCAAGGCGACGAUACAUAGCCGACCUGAGAGGGUGCUCGGCCCCACUGGGACUGAGACACGGCCCAGACUCCUACGGGAGGCAGCCGUAGGGAAUCUUCGGCAAUGGGGGGAACCCUGACCGAGCAACGCCGCGUGAGUGAAGAAGGUUUUCGGAUCGUAAAGCUCUGUUGUAAGAGAAGAACGGGUGUGAGAGUGGAAAGUUCACACUGUGACGGUAUCUUACCAGAAAGGGACGGCUAACUACGUG